CAAUGCAUUCUCCUGGAGAUGGUGGGAGAGAUUGAAGUAGGACAUGGGGAGAGUUUAGUUCUACCUCCUACCAUGCUGGCACGAACCUUCCAGCCAGCAGAAGUGUCCUGCAGUGACGGGAUCAGCAACCAGACAGGAUGAGAUGGGAUUCUCUCUGGGAGGAUGUUUUUGGGAAUUUGCUCAGCCCUGUGUCUAACACCACAACCUCGAGGGCUCAUAUUGAAGUACAGUCCCAAGGAAAAAAGUUUUAUAGGAGACACAACACAGCCCUUCAGUGUAUUCUUAUCCCAUUUCUGCUCAUAGAGCCGUGGCAAGAGCUACUUUUAGCACAAGUAUAAAAACAACAGAUCAUUUUUACAGAGAGAGAUUUUGAAAUAUGCAUCUCAGAAUUAUAUAUAUACACACAUCAGGGGCUGCUUUCCUGCUCAAAUCCCAGCUGAUCCAAGCACACGAUCACACAACGCAGCCUUUGUUACCUUUUCAGCAGGAGCCAUUUACAUCUCGAGACACCUCACCAGGCAGCCUUCUCUUCGUGACUUUUUCUCUGCAGUUUCCUCUAAAGCACGACAUAAUUGGCAGCUCGUGUGCCGUGUCCCUAUCUAUACACACGUACACUGCGUGUUAAUUUGCAGUGGGUAUGUUCCGUUGGUAUGGAUUGAUCUGCCACCCUUAUGAUCCCUCUGCGAUAAGGAUUUUGAGUUAAACUAAGCAGCAACACUCAGAAUAAAGCUGGAAGUAACGGGGAGAUUUGACAUUCAUCUCAGCAGUGGCAGAAUCGAGCAGUCUCGCUUCCCAUCUUGUGUAGGUCAGAUCAGCUUUGGCUUAUUUUUUUUUUUCCCUUACAGUAAUUUGUCUUUGGAACAGACUGUGCUAAAAUAAACCCCAAAACUACAAGGAUUACCUUAAUGUAUUAAUUCCAAAGCUGAAAUCUGGGAGAAAGAAAAUGGGCCAAUGAACAAACUUUUCUCUGUUUUUGUUGUUGUUGUUGUUGUUGUUGUUGUU
ensembl:lncRNA